rnacentral:miRNA from 14 species
AUUACCUGGGGAUCUUGUUAAAUGCAAAUUCUGAGCUUUGUGUGGGAACAGAGAUUCUGCAUUUCUAACAGGCUCCCAGUAGAUGC